UUUUUCGGAAGGUAUGCUUAAAGAGGGGCUUGCGUCACAUUAGUUAGUUGGCAGGGUAAAGGCCUACCAAGACUAUGAUGUGUAGCUGGACUGAGAGGUUGAACAGCCACAUUGGGACUGAGACACGGCCCAAACUCCUACGGGAGGCAGCAGUAGGGAAUUUUCGGCAAUGGAGGAAACUCUGACCGAGCAACGCCGCGUGAACGAUGAAGUAUUUCGGUAUGUAAAGUUCUUUUAUUGAAGAAGAAAAAAUAGUGGAAAAACUAUCUUGACGAUAUUCAAUGAAUAAGCCCCGGCAAACUAUGUGCCAGCAGCCGCGGUAAUACAUAGGGGGCGAGCGUUAUCCGGAAUUAUUGGGCGUAAAGGGUGCGUAGGCGGUUUAAUAAGUCUAUAGUUUAAUUUCAGUGCUUAACACUGUCCUGCUAUAGAAACUAUUAGACUAGAGUGAGAUAGAGGCAAGUGGAAUUCCAUGUGUAGCGGUAAAAUGCGUAAAUAUAUGGAGGAACACCAGAGGCGUAGGCGGCUUGCUGGGUCUUUACUGACGCUGAGGCACGAAAGCGUGGGGAGCAAACAGGAUUAGAUACCCUGGUAGUCCACGCCGUAAACGAUGAGUACUAAGUGUCGGGAUUACUCGGUACUGAAGUUAACACAUUAAGUACUCCGCCUGAGUAGUACGUACGCAAGUAUGAAACUUAAAGGAAUUGACGGGACUCCGCACAAGCGGUGGAUCAUGUUGUUUAAUUCGAAGAUACACGAAAAACCUUACCAGGUCUUGACAUACUCUGCAAAGCUAUAGCAAUAUAGUGGAGGUUAUCAGGGAUACAGGUGGUGCAUGGUUGUCGUCAGCUCGUGUCGUGAGAUGUUAGGUUAAGUCCUAAAACGAGCGCAACCCUUGUCAUUAGUUGCCAGCAUGUCAUGAUGGGCACUUUAAUGAGACUGCCAAUGAAAAAUUGGAGGAAGGUGAGGAUCACGUCAAAUCAUCAUGCCCCUUAUGAUCUGGGCUACAAACGUGAUACAAUGGCUGUUACAAAGAGUAGCUGAAACGCAAGUUUAUAGCCAAUCUCAUAAAAGCAGUCUCAGUUCGGAUUGAAGUCUGCAACUCGACUUCAUGAAGUUGGAAUCGCUAGUAAUCGCGAAUCAGCAUGUCGCGGUGAAUACGUUCUCGGGGUUUGUACACACCGCCCGUCAAACCACGAAAG
rnacentral:rRNA from 1 species